AUUUACGAAAAGGGGGGCAUGUGAAAGUGAAGUAUUAGUUAAAAUAAUCAGCCAUUUUGAGUGCCAAAUCUGGAGUUUUCAUCCAUAUAUCUUUGAUAGUGGCACAACUAAACACACACACUUUCAUGGGCGCCGCCAUUACAGCGGACACUUUGAAUACCGGCAAUAUUUAUGGCGAUUACCUUUGGUCCUCGAUACGUCAUGUAAGAUCACGUAUUUUAAUAAGUUAUGCGAAAAUAUCGGUCUUGUGACCCUCGAUAGGUAAACGUAGAGCGACCGACCGUGGAUUUCCGACGAUGGGGUACCUGCGGGCUUGGAAUACAUCUUUGGGAAAAUGGGUGCGCCAUGGGAUUCACGUGGUGUUAUCCGAAGACUCUUUACAAAUGUUCACAGCAGCCCGUACAAGCAGUUUAGAGCAAGAUAGAGAGACUGAAAGACAAAGAAUAGAGAGA